rfam:Fusarium graminearum mitochondrial complete genome
UCUUUACCUACAAGCCUAUAAUUAUAUUAACUCUAAGAGAAAUCUAAUAAUAAACGGAGUGAAUUGAAAUAUCUUAUUAACUUCAGGAAAAGAAAUCAAAAGAGAUUCUAUGAUUAGCGUGAGCUAAAAUAGAGUAGCCUAGAAAGUCAAAUGGUGGAUAAACUGUUUAAAUUUAAUGGGGAACCUUCCUCAAAGGCUAAAUAUAAUAUGUAAGCGAUAGUGGAAAGUACCGUGAGGGAACCAAAACAAAAACAGUGAUUUUAUAAGCAGUUCGGAAAAAUAAAAAAGUUAGAACGUACCUUUUGCAUAAUGGGUCACCAAGUUAACAUUAGAUGCGAGAUUCUACGUAGUUAAACCGAGCGUUAAAAUAACGGUAAGUGUCUAAAGUUAGACCCGAAGCCUGGUGAUUUUACCAUAAUCAGGAUUAUAAAAGUCCGAACGGAAUAUUGUAGCAUAAAUAUCCGAAGAAUUAUGGUAGGUGUAGUGAAAGACAAUACUGACCAGGAUAGCUGGUUUUCUGCGAAACCUAUAACAGUAGGCAAUUUAAGUAUAAUAUCUUAGCAGGUACAGAAUUUAAUCUCAGACAAGACAUAAGGCUUAACUUGUUAACAAGUUAAGCCCAUGUUUUAUUUUGUACAAAUUGGGGGAUCAUGAAGAUUUUAUCAGUGAGUAUGUAGACUCGGAAUGGCAAAGAUAUAUCUUAAAUCAUCAGACAUAGAAUGAUAAGGUUGUAUGUCAAAAGGGAAACAGCCCAGAACAAGAGUUAAGGUUCCUAAAUUAUUAGUUGAGUGAAAUUAAGAAGGUUUUUAUUAAAGUCGACAAGGAGAUAGGCUUAGAAGCAGCCAUAAUUUUAUGACCUCGUAACAGAGCGCUUGUUAAGUUUUAAAAGCAUCGAAAAUUUAUCGGAUCUAAACAAUAUACCGAAACCUUGUCCAUAUUAUUUUAUAAUUAAUAGUCUCAGCAAGCUCGGACUAUACAAUUAUAAUUAAAUGGGGUAGCAGAACGUUGAGCUAAAUUAAGAUUUUUAUUUUUUAAAUGAAAUUAUAAUAAUUUAACUCAAGUGAUAAUGGUGACAUGAGUAACUAAAAGAAAAUUUUCCGCCUAAAGCUUAUGGAUGUAAUUAAGUAACGGCCUCUAAGUUUAUGGAAUCAAAAGAUUAAAACGAUGAGACAAUCUUUCAUACUAAGGACGACAUUUUAAGUGCAAAAUGUACUGGAAAAAUAGUAAUAAGUUUAAGCUAUGGCUAGAACUAGCUAUAGCUGUAAAUGGAAAGUAACCGUACCUAGAAUCUGAAACAAGUAAGCUAGUAGAGAAUACGAAGGCGUAAAUGAGCUAACAAUCAUAAAGGAACUCGGCAAAUUGACUACCGUAACUUCGGGAUAAGGAGAGCUCAUUAUUCUUGAUUAAUAUCAGGUAAAGAGGAAGAAGCAUGAAAUAGUGUUGUACGACUGUUUAAUUAAAACACAGCACUUUGCUGAAAGAUUAAAAAUCUAAGUAUAGAGUGUGAUGUCUGCCCGGUGCCGGCUGGUUAACAGAUAUAAUUAAAUAUACUAAUAUUUGAUGUAGACGGAAACCCCGGUUAAAGGCGGCCUUAACGUGAGGGUCCUAAGGUAGCGAAAUGCCUUGGCCGUUAAAUGCGGUCUUGCAUGAAUGAUGUAACGAUACAACAGCUGUCUCUAUGAUUGACUCAGUGAAAUUGGAAUAGCUGUGCAGAUACAGUUUACCUCUAGUUAGACGAGAAGACCCUAUGCAGCUUUACUGUCACUAAUUAUAGAGUAUGAUAAACAAUUUUCAGUUUAUAAGGUAAUUGACGGCCGGCUUGCUUAGCAAGCUGGCUCUAUGACAAUGAGAAUCCUUUAUUUUUUUUUCAUAUGAAUGAAUUGGUUUAGGACGAGCUUAAGCUCGUAGUAAAUCAACCUAAUUCAGCUUAUUUUCCUUUCUGCUGUAAGCGCAUAAUGAUAGAUUAUACUUAAAUUUGGAUUUAUGCCUGCAGAAAUAGAUAAGUACCCUUGGUUAAGGAACUAUCGCUAGGGGACAGUUUAUGUGGGGCACAGACCCUGUAAAGAGUAAACAGGAGUGUCUAAUAAUUUAUAAUUAUUUUGUUUGCGAUUUAAGGUAGUAGAACUAUUUUUAAUCAUAUAAAAUUAUUUAUAUGUACAUUCGUUGUAUAUAUAUUUAAAAAAAGGUAGGAUUUUCACUAUAUAGAAAUUAGAGAUAAUAAAAAUAUUAAGUAGUAGCUGCUGAGUCCUAAUCCCGCCGAAGGGGGGAUAUGGACUACUAUGUAUUUCAUAGCAAGCUCGCACUAAUAUUUUUUAACUAUUAAGACUGGCUAUCUAGCUAUGCUCUAAUAGUUAUGUUUUAAUUAUCUAAAAAGCUCAACGGCUAAAUCUUGCCUUACUGUUUGAUUAUCAACAAAUCUUACAGUUGCGUAAGCAGGGCAUAGGAUCACAAGAUGCAACAAGGAAAGAUCUUGGAUUAUUGGAAAAGCUACGCUAGGGAUGUUUGUCCUUUAAUAUUUUAUUUCACUGUGGUAUGGGUCAUAGUCCUACGGACUCAGCUUUUUUUAAAAAAAAAAUACGAGCUUGCUAUGAAGAGCGGACUUCGUUCUAGCGAAGCUAGCCCCCUAUUCCCUAUUCCCUGACCCCCUACGGGGGUAGGGAAU